CCAUGCCCAAGAGCAAGGUUCAUGGGAUGCUAAAGGUGAUAAAGUCAAGACAGACCGCUGAGAAGGACCACAGCUCAUCUGCUAAACCCUCUCCUGCAAAGCUAGAAACCAAACCUAAAAAGGCACUUGCAAAGAAAGGAGAGAAGAUACACGAAGGGGAAAAGGAGAAAGCUGAUGCUGGCAAGAUUGGAAAAACCCUGCAAAAAAAAGAGAGUCCAAACUGACCAGGCAGGAAAGGCUGAAGAGGCUGGAGCUCUUACAUGAGAUUGGAGAGAUUUGCAACAUUGAGCAAGGGAGAAUGAAAAGCCUUGGAUAAGAGGGAACGGAGAGAAUGGAGUUUCCUGGGCCAAAAUGACUCAAGAAGUGGGAAAUGGUUAAUUACAAAUGCUGCCGAAACUUUGGCUUGGUCAUUUCUAGGGCAAGGAAAGCCACGACAUGAAGCACAAAAGGGAAACUGUUUGAAUGAGGAUGAAACAUCUGCUCCAAAACUACUGCUGGGUCAUUUUCUACAAAAUACCUCCUUUCCAACUUCAUUCUGUUUGCCAAGAAUAUCAGGAAUCAAAAUCACAACAUUUCCAAACUACUGUUUCUACCAUUGCCGCAUUUGGUUUACAAAUGAGUGAUACUUCGUAAUGGAAAAAUCACUGGAUUUGAAGUCACAAUAUGUGUUCCUAUCCCGGCUCUGCUAAUA